AGAGUUUGAUCAUGGCUCAGGAUGAACGCUAGCGGCAGGCUUAACACAUGCAAGUCGAGGGGUAGAGGAAGCUUGCUUCCUUGAGACCGGCGCACGGGUGCGUAACGCGUAUGCAACCUACCUUUUACAGAGGGAUAGCCCAGAGAAAUUUGGAUUAAUACCUCAUAGUAUAUAGUCUUCGCAUGUUGAUUAUAUUAAAGUUCCAACGGUAAAAGAUGGGCAUGCGUCCUAUUAGCUAGAUGGUAAGGUAACGGCUUACCAUGGCAACGAUAGGUAGGGGUCCUGAGAGGGAGAUCCCCCACACUGGUACUGAGACACGGACCAGACUCCUACGGGAGGCAGCAGUGAGGAAUAUUGGACAAUGGGCGCAAGCCUGAUCCAGCCAUGCCGCGUGCAGGAAGAAGCAUCUAUGGUGUGUAAACUGCUUUUGUACAGGAAGAAACACCCCGACGUGUCGGGACUUGACGGUACUGUAAGAAUAAGGAUCGGCUAACUCCGUGCCAGCAGCCGCGGUAAUACGGAGGAUCCAAGCGUUAUCCGGAAUCAUUGGGUUUAAAGGGUCCGUAGGCGGUUUGGUAAGUCAGUGGUGAAAGCCCGCAGCUCAACUGUGGAACGGCCAUUGAUACUGCCAGACUUGAAUUACAAGGAAGUAACUAGAAUAUGUAGUGUAGCGGUGAAAUGCUUAGAUAUUACAUGGAAUACCAAUUGCGAAGGC
rnacentral:rRNA from 1 species